AGAAUCAACGCUGGCGGCGUGCCUCAGACAUGCAAGUCGAACGCGAAAGGCCCCUUCGGGGCUGAGUAGAGUGGCGCACGGGUGAGUAACACGUAGGUAAUUUGCCUUCGGGUGGGAAUAACUCAGGGAAACUUGAGCUAAUACCGCAUAAUGCAGCGGCUCGACAUCGAGACAGUUGUUAAAGCGGGGAUCGUAAGACCUCGCGCCUGAAGAGAAGCCUGCGGCAGAUUAGCUAGUUGGUAGGGUAAUGGCCUACCAAGGCGACGAUCU
rnacentral:rRNA from 1 species